rnacentral:rRNA from 1 species
UACGUAGGUGGCGAGCGUUAUCCGGAAUUAUUGGGCGUAAAGAGCGCGCAGGUGGUUGAUUAAGUCUGAUGUGAAAGCCCACGGCUUAACCGUGGAGGGUCAUUGGAAACUGGUCGACUUGAGUGCAGAAGAGGGAAGUGGAAUUCCAUGUGUAGCGGUGAAAUGCGUAGAGAUAUGGAGGAACACCGGUGGCGAAGGCGGCUUACUGGACGAUUACUGACGUUGAGGCUCGAAAGCGUGGGGAGCAAACAGGAUUAGAUACCCUGGUA